UUGGCAAUUACCAUAAUUAUUGGAUUUAAGCGACUUAAUAGCAGAUAAGUUCUAUUUCACUCCGUCAUUUGCUGGACGUAAUGACUUAAAAAGAGAACAAAUUUAAAUUGGUUCCUUUCUGUGCCCAUUAGGUUACUGUAGAUCGAGUCAUCGUAAAGAAGAAAGGAAACAAUUUAAGCCUUUUAGAUUAAGUUCUUCCUCAGCAGAAAUGGAUACAUAAAGUCCCAAGGAUCGGAAAGGGCCUCAAUCCACAAAAAACUGAGGCAUGCUUCCCCACACUUAAAUAAAAAAAAAAAAACAGGUAUUAAAAGAGCCCAUCAGUUUUGUUCCCUCGCUUGGUGUUGAUUCCUGCUUUCUGCGAAUUGCUCCAUAAACUUUUUCUCUUAUAGUCAUAUCAGGAAAAAGUAAAAGGAUUGGCCAACUUUGCUUUGGCCUACUGUGAGGAAUUCUUUGGUUUAUAUAAUUUGAAAAGCAACAGCCAGUAUGAUUAUCUUUAGUUAGUAUUAAUUUGCUUGUCAUCAAAUUAUCUUGGAUUUUCAAUUUUAAGAUGUAAGCUUUCAAUCUUGGCCAGUGAACUAGCAUGAAAUUAGUUGUUCGCUGUCAAGAUAAGAUUAAUAUAUCUGGUUUUUGUGUAGAAUAAUCACCGAAGGAUGUUUUGUUGCUUUAAUGAUUUUAUGAACAUUGGAAUAACAAGAAUUUCUACAUUAUGGAUUGCUUGGCAUGUAUGACCUGUGGAAAAAGUGCUGAGUUUCAGCAAAUGGCAGAGCAGAAAUAGGUACCUAAAGUGCUAUGAUCAAGUGGGACCUCAAACUUGAAAGGCUUGCCGUGCUCUGGUGACUUCUGUGGAAUGUACCAGGUCCACAACUUCAAUGUUCUUGCUGAGAUAGAAUCUCUACUCUUUUCACUUUUUUCUUAGGACUCUUCAUCCACAAAAGUUAAAAAGCGCUGUGUUGUGUUUUAAACCAUAUGCUUCAAGAUAUUGGUUUGGAUUAGCCUUAGGGUGCAACCUUUGGCAGUUAACUAAUACAAUCUAAAUGAGUGUUUUUUGUUGAAA